UGAGUACAAGAUGCUACGGCAUUGAAGCAGUCUAUGUCAUACUUCCAAGAAAAGCUUGCAAUGUCAUAAACAAUAAUGCCUGUACCAUAACCGACACAGGUGGGUAGGUAGAGUAUACUAAGGGGCGCGAGAUAACCCUCUCUAAGGAACUCGGCAAAAUGACUCCGUAACUUCGGGAGAAGGAGUACCUUAUUUUAUAAGGUUGCAAUAACAAGGUCCAAGCAACUGUUUACCAAAAACACAGGUCUCCGCUAAGUCGUAAGACGAUGUAUGGGGGCUGACGCCUGCCCAGUGCCAGAAGGUUAAAGAAGUUGGUUAGCAUUAGCGAAGCUGAUAACUGAAGCCCUGGUGAACGGCGGCCGUAACAAUAACGGUCCUAAGGUAGCGAAAUUCCUUGUCGGGUAAGUUCCGACCCGCACGAAAGGCGUAAUGAUUUGGAUACUGUCUCGGAGAGGGGCUCGGUGAAAUAGACUUGUCUGUGAAGAUGCGGACUACCUGCACCUGGACAGAAAGACCCUAUGAAGCUUUACUGUAACUUGAGAUUGAAAUUGGACUUUAUUUGCGCAGUAUAGGUGGGAGACCUCGAAAGUAUUCUUGCGGGAAUAUUGGAGUCAUCAGUGAGAUACCACUCUUAUAAUGUUAGAUUUCUAACUUUGUAUCAUUAUCUGGUCAAAGAACAGUUUCAGGCGGGCAGUUUGACUGGGGCGGUCGCCUCCCAAAUGGUAACGGAGGCGCACAAAGGUUUCCUCUGAACGUGUAGAAAUCGUAUCUAGAGUGUAAAGGCAUAAGGAAGCUUGACUGUGAGACCUACAAGUCGAGCAGGGACGAAAGUCGGUCUUAGUGAUCUGACGGUGCUGAGUGGAAAGGCCGUCACUCAACGGAUAAAAGUUUACUCUAGGAUAACAGGCUGAUCUCCCCCAAGAGUUCACAUCGACGGGGAGGUUUGGCACCUCGAUGUCGGCUCAUCGCAUCCUGGGGCGGUAGUACGUCCCAAGGGUUGGGCUGUUCGCCCAUGAAAGCGGUACGCGAGCUGGGUUCAGAACGUCGUGAGACAGUUCGGUCCAUAUCCGGUGUAGGCGUUAGAAUAUUGAGAGGAGCCUUCUUUAGUACGAGAGGACCGAGAAGGACAUACCUCUGGUGUACCAGAUAUCGUGCCAACGGUAAACGCUGGGUAGCUAUGUAUGGAGAGGAUAACCGCUGAAAGCAUCUAAGUGGGAAGCCCACCUCAAGAUAAG
rnacentral:rRNA from 1 species